GACGAACGCUGGCGGCGUGCCUAAUACAUGCAAGUCGAACGCAGCGGGGACGGGUGAGUAACACGUGGGUAACCUCCCAUCAGAGGGGAUAACACUUGGAAACCGGCGCUAAACCGACACUGAUGGAUGAACCCGCGGUGCAUUAGCUAGUUGGUGAGGUAACGGCUCACCAAGGCCACGAUGCAUAGCCGACCUGAGAGGGUGAGCGGCCACACUGGGACUGGGACGCGGCCCAGACUCCUACGGGAGGCAGCAGUAGGGUAUCUUCGGCAAUGGAGGAAAGUCUGACCAAGCAACACCGCGUGAGUGAAGAAGGUUUUCGGGUCGUAGAACUCUGUUGUUAGAUAAGCGGUAUCUAACCAGAAGGCCACGGCUAACUACGUGCCAGCAGCCGCGGUAAUAC
rnacentral:rRNA from 1 species